CGGCUUAACCUUGGGAAUGGCAUCUAAGACUGGUCAGCUAGAGUCUUGUAAGGGGGGUAGAAUUCCAUGUGUAGCGGUGAAUGCGUAUAGAUGUGGAGGAAUACCGGUGGCGAAGGCGGCCCCCUGGCAAAGACUGACGCUCAGGUGCGAAAGCGUGGGGAGCAAACAGGAUUAGAUACCCUGGUAGUCCACGCUGUAAACGAUGUCGAUUUGAAGGUUGUUCCCUUGAGGAGUGGCUUUCGGAGCUAACGCGUUAAAUCGACCGCCUGGGGAGUACGGCCGCAAGGUUAAAACUCAAAUGAAUUGACGGGGGCCCGCUCAAGCGGUGGAGCAUGUGGUUUAAUUCGAUGCACGCGAAGAACCUUACCUACUCUUGACAUCCAGAGAAUUUAGCAGAUAUGCUUUGGUGCCUUCGGGUACUCUGAGACAGGUGCUGCAUGGCUUGUCGUCAGCUCGUGUUGUGAAAUGUUGGGUUUAAGUCCCGCAACGAGCGCACCCCUUAAUCCUUUUGUUUGCCAGCGAUUCGGUCCGGGAACUCAAAGGAUACUGCCGGUGAUAAACCGGGAGGAUAGGUGGGGGAUGAACGUCAAGUCAUCAUGGGCCCUUUUACGGAGUAGGGGCUUACCACUCGUGCCUACAAUUGG
rnacentral:rRNA from 1 species